rnacentral:sRNA from 1 species
AAUAGAGUGAAUCUUACAGUAUUACAGC